GUCGCCUCCUAAAAGGUAACGGAGGCGCUCAAAGGUUCCCUCAGAAUGGUUGGAAAUCAUUCAUAGAGUGUAAAGGCAUAAGGGAGCUUGACUGCGAGACCUACAAGUCGAGCAGGGUCGAAAGACGGACUUAGUGAUCCGGUGGUUCCGCAUGGAAGGGCCAUCGCUCAACGGAUAAAAGCUACCCCGGGGAUAACAGGCUUAUCUCCCCCAAGAGUUCACAUCGACGGGGAGGUUUGGCACCUCGAUGUCGGCUCAUCGCAUCCUGGGGCUGUAGUCGGUCCCAAGGGUUGGGCUGUUCGCCCAUUAAAGCGGUACGCGAGCUGGGUUCAGAACGUCGUGAGACAGUUCGG
rnacentral:rRNA from 1 species